GUCAGGCCUGGGAGGAACCCUGCCCAGCCUCAGGACCUCAGGGAACAGAAUUGAGGCACUUCCACCAUGGCCUGGACCCCUCUCCUCCUCGGCCUCCUCGCUCACUGCACAGGCUCCAUGGCCUCCUACGUGCUGACUCAGCCCCCGUCAGUGUCAAUGAACCUGGGAAAGACGGCCAGGAUCACAUGUGGAGGAAACAACAUUGGAAGUAAAUUUGCUUACUGGUACCAGCAGAAGCCAGGCCGGGCCCCGGUGAUGAUUAUCUAUGAUGAUAGCAAAAGGUCCUCAAGGACCCCUGACCGAUUCUCAGGCAGCAACUCGGGGAACACGGCCACCCUCACCAUCAGCGGGGCCCAGGCCGAGGACGAGGCCAAUUAUUACUGUCAAGUGUGGGGUGGCAAUAGUGAUGCUCACAGUGAUACAGGCAGAUGGGGAAGUGAGACACAAACUCUUUCCCCAUCUGUGUCACACUCUCCUCCAUCCCCUGGAGGCUUGUGGACAAAGCAGAGUGGCUCUGGUCAAAGUUCCUGGAGCUGAGGUCCCCAGGUUGCC